rnacentral:rRNA from 1 species
AUUCCAGCUCCAGUAGCGUAUAUUAAAGUUGUUGCAGUUAAAAAGCUCGUAGUUGGAUUUCUGGCAAGGCAGAGCUAACCUGGUACUAUGUAUCGUGUGUUGGACUCGGUCUGCCAUCCUUCCAGAAAAGCAUCAUACCCUUCAUUGGGCCGUGGUGAUAGAUCUGGAACUUUUACUUUGAAAAAAUUAGAGUGUUCAAAGCAGGCGUUACGCUAUGAAUACAUUAGCACGGAAUAAUAAUUUAGGACUUCAGUUCUAUUUUGUUGGUUUCUAGGACCGAAGUAAUGAUUGAUAGGGAUAGUUGGGGGUGCUAGUAUUCAGCGGCCAGAGGUGAAAUUCUUGGAUUCGCUGAAGACUAACUUAUGCGAAAGCAUUCACCAAGGAUGUCUUCAUCA